rnacentral:rRNA from 1 species
AGAGUUUGAUCCUGGCUCAGGACGAACGCUGGCGGCGUGCUUAACACAUGCAAGUCGAACGGAAAGGCCUCUUCGGAGGUACUCGAGUGGCGAACGGGUGAGUAACACGUGGGCAAUCUGCCCUGCACUUCGGGAUAAGCCUGGGAAACUGGGUCUAAUACCGGAUAGGACCUCAAGACGCAUGUCUUCUGGUGGAAAGCUUUUGCGGUGUGGGAUGGGCCCGCGGCCUAUCAGCUUGUUGGUGGGGUGACGGCCUACCAAGGCGACGACGGGUAGCCGGCCUGAGAGGGUGUCCGGCCACACUGGGACUGAGAUACGGCCCAGACUCCUACG